CUACGGGUCGCACCAGUGAGGAAUAUUGCACAAUGGGGGGAACCCUGAUGCAGCAACGCCGCGUGGAGGAUGACGCAUUUCGGUGUGUAAACUCCUUUUAUAUGUCAAGAAAAUGACGGUAGCAUAUGAAUAAGCACCGGCUAACUCCGUGCCAGCAGCCGCGGUAAUACGGAGGGUGCAAGCGUUACUCGGAAUCACUGGGCGUAAAGGACGCGUAGGCGGGUUGGAAAGUCAGGUGUGAAAUCCUACAGCUUAACUGUAGAACUGCACUUGAAGCUUCUAAUCUAGGGUAUGGGAGGGGGGGAUGGAAUUAGUGGUGUAGGGGUAAAAUCCGUAGAUAUCACUAGGAAUACCUAAAGCGAAGGCGAUCUCCUGGAACAUUACUGACGCUAAGGCGUGAAAGCGUGGGGAGCAAACAGGAUUAGAUACCCCUGUAGUC
rnacentral:rRNA from 1 species